rnacentral:rRNA from 1 species
AGCAGCCGCGGUAAUUCCAGCUCCAAUAGCGUAUAUUAAAGUUGUUGCAGUUAAAAAGCUCGUAGUUGAAUUUCGGGACUAAUAUGUCGGUCGUACUUUGUACGUACUAGCAUUAUUGGUUUCUCCCUUCUGACGAACCACGAUGUCAUUAAUUUGGUGUCAUGGGAAAUCAGGACUGUUACUUUGAAAAAUUAGAGUGUUUAAAGCAAGCUCGCGCUUGAAUACAUUAGCAUGGAAUAAUGAAAUAGGACGUUUGAUUCUAUUUUGUUGGUUUCUAGGAUCGACGUAAUGAUUAAUAGGGAUAGUUGGGGGCAUUAGUAUUCAAUUGUCAGAGGUGAAAUUCUUGGAUUAUUGAAGACUAACUACUGCGAAAGCAUUUGCCAAGGAUGUUUUCAUUAAUCAAGAACGAAAGUUAGGGGAUCGAAGACGAUCAGAUACCGUCGUAGUCUUAACCAUAAACUAUGACCGACUAGGGAUCGGAUGAUGUUAAUUUUUAAU